ncrna:unclassified sequences S10-Clostridia ribosomal protein leader
UGAUAGCUAUGAAGCAUAGGUUGCCGUUUAUCGGGUUUUAUGUGGAGCGAAGGUCAUGUUGCAAAAACUGGCGACAA